AUUCGCUUCGGUGGUACAUACAUUAAAAUUGGAACGAUACAGGAAAGAUUAGCAUGGCCGCAUGACAAGUAUGACACGCAAAAUCGGGAAGCGUUCCGCAUCUUG